AUUGAACGCUGGCGGCACGCCUAACACAUGCAAGUCGAACGGCAGCACGGUAAGUAGCAAUACUUAUGGGUGGCGAGUGGCGGACGGGUGAGUAAAGCGUAGGGACCUACCUUAUAGAGGAGGACAACACGGGGAAACCCGUGCUAAUACUGCAUAAGCUCUAAGGAGGAAAGCAUGGGACUGAAAGGCCAUGCGCUAUGAGAUGGGCCUACGUCGGAUUAGCUAGUUGGUGGGGUAAUUGCCUACCAAGGCGAAGAUCCGUAGCUGUUCUGAGAGGAAGAUCAGCCACACUGGGACUGAGACACGGCCCAGACUCCUACGGGAGGCAGCAGUGGGGAAUAUUGGACAAUGGGGGCAACCCUGAUCCAGCGAUGCCGCGUGUGUGAAGAAGGCCUGCGGGUUGUAAAGCACUUUAGGUGGGGAAGAAAUUGCACGGGUUAAUACCCUGUGUAGAUGACGGUACCCGAAUAAGAAGCACCGGCUAACUACGUGCC
rnacentral:rRNA from 1 species